rnacentral:lncRNA from 1 species
GGAGGACUGGCAGUAGCUAGCUCAGGGCUAAUCUUCCUCAAAAAAAAAAAAAAUAGAAGAGAAAAUGCUAGAGACUGAAGGUUUGUGUCCCCUCAAAAUUCAAAUGUUGAAACUCUAAUCUCCCAUGUGAUAGUAUCUGCAGGUGGGGCCUUUGAGAGGUAAUUAGGUCAUGCGGGUGGAGCCUUAUAAGAAGAGACAGGAAAGAGCUUGCUUCCUUUCUCUCUGCUCUUACCCAUGUGGACACCGAGAAGAUGUACAUAUGCAAACCAGGAAGAGAAUUCUCACCAGAACUCGACCUUGCUGGCAUCCUGAUCUCGGACUCUCCAGCCUCCAGAACUGCUGGAAUUCAGCUGAUCUCAAUUGGGCUCCAUUAGGCUUGGAUCUGGACUAAGCAUAGAGUUCAGCUCCAGGAAGUCUUGGCUGACGAACUGCAGCUGCCUGGGGCUCACACAGCUCUCGUGACAUCCACAGCACAACUCGUGCCACACCACAUUGUUACUGUCC